GUAUCUUCGGAUAUGAGUAGAGCGGCGGACGGGUGAGUAACGCGUAGGAAUCUACCUAGUAGAAGGGGAUAGCCCGGGGAAACCCGGAUUAAUACCGUAUACCUCCUUUGGGAGAAAGAAGGCCUCUCUUUAGAAGCUUUCGCUACUAGAUGAGCCUGCGUAAGAUUAGCUUGUUGGUGAGGUAAAGGCUCACCAAGGCGACGAUCUUUAGCUGGUCUGAGAGGACGAUCAGCCACAUUGGGACUGAGACACGGCCCAGACUCCUACGGGAGGCAGCAGUGGGGAAUAUUGGACAAUGGGCGCAAGCCUGAUCCAGCCAUACCGCGUGUGUGAAGAAGGCCUUCGGGUUGUAAAGCACUUUAAGCAGGGAGAAAAAGUUAUAAGUUAAUACCUUAUAACCCUGAUGUUACCUGCAGAAUAAGCACCGGCUAAUUCCGUGCCAGCAGCCGCGGUAAUACGGAAGGUGCAAGCGUUAAUCGGAAUUACUGGGCGUAAAGCGCGCGUAGGUGGUUUGUUAAGUUGGAUGUGAAAGCCCUGGGCUCAACCUAGGAACUGCAUCCAAAACUAACUCACUAGAGUACGAUAGAGGGAGGUAGAAUUCAUAGUGUAGCGGUGGAAUGCGUAGAUAUUAUGAAGAAUACCAGUGGCGAAGGCGGCCUCCUGGAUCUGUACUGACACUGAGGUGCGAAAGCGUGGGUAGCGAACAGGAUUAGAUACCCUGGUAGUCCACGCCGUAAACGAUGACAACUAGCUGUUGGGAGACAAUGUCUUUCAGUGGCGCAGCUAACG
rnacentral:rRNA from 1 species